rnacentral:rRNA from 1 species
GACGAACGCUGGCGGCGUGCCUAAUACAUGCAAGUAGAACGCUGAAGGAGGAGCUUGCUCUUCUGGAUGAGUUGCGAACGGGUGAGUAACGCGUAGGUAACCUGCCUGGUAGCGGGGGAUAACUAUUGGAAACGAUAGCUAAUACCGCACAACAGUAGAUGUUGCAUGACAUUUACUUAAAAGGUGCAAUUGCAUCACUACCAGAUGGACCUGCGUUGUAUUAGCUAGUUGGUGGGGUAACGGCUCACCAAGGCGACGAUACAUAGCCGACCUGAGAGGGUGAUCGGCCACACUGGGACUGAGACACGGCCCAGACUCCUACGGGAGGCAGCAGUAGGGAAUCUUCGGCAAUGGACGGAAGUCUGACCGAGCAACGCCGCGUGAGUGAAGAAGGUUUUCGGAUCGUAAAGCUCUGUUGUAAGAGAAGAACGAGUGUGAGAGUGGAAAGUUCACACUGUGACGGUAUCUUACCAGAAAGGGACGGCUAACUACGUG